rnacentral:rRNA from 1 species
AACGAACGCUGGCGGCAUGCCUAACACAUGCAAGUCGAACGAGACCUUCGGGUCUAGUGGCGCACGGGUGCGUAACGCGUGGGAACCUGCCCUUAGGUUCGGAAUAACUCCCCGAAAGGGGUGCUAAUACCGGAUAAUGUCUUCGGACCAAAGAUUUAUCGCCUUUGGAUGGGCCCGCGUUGGAUUAGCUAGUUGGUAGGGUAAAAGCCUACCAAGGCGACGAUCCAUAGCUGGUCUGAGAGGAUGAUCAGCCACACUGGGACUGAGACACGGCCCAGACUCCUACGGGAGGCAGCAGGGGGGAAUAUUGGACAAUGGGCGAGAGCCUGAUCCAGCAAUGCCGCGUGAGUGAUGAAGGCCUUAGGGUUGUAAAGCUCUUUUACCCGGGAUGAUAAUGACAGUACCGGGAGAAUAAGCGCCGGCUAACUCCGUG